GACGAACGCUGGCGGCGUGGAUUAGGCAUGCAAGUCGGACGGUAGGGCUUUAUCGUAAGAUAGAGUUUGAGAGUGGCGAACGGGUGAGUAACACGUAGGAAUCUACCCUUAAGACGGGGACAACCCAGGGAAACUUGGGCUAAUACCGGAUGAGAGUGCGAGAGAUUGCAUUUAAAAGGAUGGCGAAAGUUGUCGCUUAGGGAUGAGCCUGCGGUCUAUUAGUUAGUUGGUGAGGUAAGAGCUCACCAAGGCGAUGAUAGAUAGGCGGCCUUAACGGGUGGUCGCCCACACUGGGAUUGAGAUACGGCCCAGACUCCUACGGGAGGCAGCAGUCGAGAAUAGUCUACAAUGGCCGGAAGGCUGAUAGUGCGACGCCGCGUGAACGAGGGGAGCCCUUCGGGUGUAAAGUUCUUUUCUUAUACGAGCAGUGCUAUAUAUAUGGAUAGUAUAUAUAGAGGGAGUAGUAGUAUAGGAAUAAGCAACGGCUAACUCCGUCGCCAGCACG
rnacentral:rRNA from 1 species